rnacentral:piRNA from 1 species
UGUGUUUGCUGGGCCCCGGCAUAGUCU